AUAAUGUUAUGUUGCAGCAUCGGUAGAUCAAGGGAAAUUUUUGUUGGCAGCUAGAAGGUUUAGGCACGAAGCACAUAUUGAGUAUAUAAUCUCUCUUGAUGCUAAUGACUUGUCCUAAGGAAGUAAUGCAUAUGUCGGAAAGUUGAGUGCUGCAGAAAGCUAUUGUUUUAAGGAAGCAAUUGUCACCUGCAAUCCUUCACACUCACAGAUCUGAUUUACCAAAAUGGAAGCCAGCUGUUAUUGGAUUACUCUGUUGUCCACAGUUUUGACCUGAAAUAAAUGAAAUGAUACGCAAUUCCAGUUGCGCCCCGACUAAGGUGAGGUUGGCUGAUCUUAAAAAAAUAAAACAGUGUGAUUCUUCAGACACAAUACUUCUUAUGCUUAGAAGAAUGUAAUAGAGUUUUCCAUUUCUUGUUUGAUUUUAUGAAAGUUGUAUUGGAUCAAUUAAUUAUGGUUGAUACUGUUAAUUUUUGCAAAAGGUGGGCCUCUCAUGCACAACUUUAUCAGGCCAUGCAUAUAUUCCAUCAAACAUUUUAUAUUUCCUUAGUAGUUGAUUGACCCUCCAAGUCCAAAAGUAAAAUA